UACGUAGGGCGCAAGCGUUAUCCGGAAUUAUUGGGCGUAAAGAGCUCGUAGGCGGUUUGUCGCGUCUGCCGUGAAAGUCCGGGGCUCAACUCCGGAUCUGCGGUGGGUACGGGCAGACUAGAGUGAUGUAGGGGGAGACUGGAAUUCCUGGUGUAGCGGUGAAAAUGCGCAGAUAUCAGGAGGAACACCGAUGCGAAGGCAGG
rnacentral:rRNA from 1 species